rnacentral:tRNA from 1 species
GCCGGGGUGGUGGAAUUGGUAGACGCAGGGGACUUAAAAUCCUCUGGGGCGUAAGCCCCGUGCGGGUUCAAGUCCCGCCCCCGGCA